rnacentral:rRNA from 1 species
CCUACGGGAGGCUGCAGUGGGGAAUAUUGGGCAAUGGGCGCAAGCCUGACCCAGCAACGCCGCGUGAAGGAAGAAGGCUUUCGGGUUGUAAACUUCUUUUCUCAGGGACGAAGAAAGUGACGGUACCUGAGGAAUAAGCCACGGCUACUACGUGGCAGCAGCCGCGGGAAUACGUAGGUGGCAAGCGUUAUCCGGAGUUAUUGGGUGUAAGGGGCGUGUAGGCGGGAGCGCAAGUCAGAUGUGAAAACUCAGGGCUCAACCCUGAGCCUGCAUUUGAAAAUGUGGUUCUUGAGUGCUGGAGAGGCAAUCGGAAUUCCGUGUGUAGCGGUGAAAUGCGUAGAUAUACGGAGGAACACCAGUGGCGAAGGCGGAUUGCUGGACAGUAACUGACGUUGAGGCUCGAAAGCGUGGGGAGCAAACAGGAUUAGAUACCCCAGUAGUC